GCCGAAGAGAGCAAGAGCAGAUGACAUGGGGCUGUAUUCCUUCUCCCGUUAUACCAUUCUGAUAUUAUUACUCUCUGCAGCAAUCUUGGCCAUGCAGCCUUAUCAAAUCAGUGCAGAUAUUGAAGUAAUUAGAAAACUAGCAGCACGCAUGCCAAGUCCUCCCCCUCCACCAAAACCAAAUUUGAGGAGAGCCCAGAAACCACCAGAGCCUCCGCCUAGCUCUGUACAAGUUGAAAAUUAGGAUCCUUCAAUCGGCAUAUGUUAUUAAGUAAUAAGAGUGGAAUAUUUCUGCACGUAUGCCUCCUUUUUAUGGGAUCAAUGUAAGAUUUGGGUGUUUCUCAAUAAGCUAAAUGAAAUUUAGACCACUCGGUGUAAUGCAUGUUAAUUGGUUGUAAUUUGACUUCAAGAUUGUAAAUAAGCUGGCAAACAUGCUUGCUAACACCCAAUAGGGAAAAAAUACCCACUGAGAAUGAAAUAGAGAGAGAGAAAUGUUGUAUCUGAUCUACAAUUUCAACCGAAGUUUUCAUGGUUCUUUGAGUUUUCUUUCUA